UACGUAGGGGGCAAGCGUUGUCCGGAAUCAUUGGGCGUAAAGAGCGUGUAGGCGGCUCGGUAAGUCCGCUCUGAAAGCCCGGGGCUCAACCCCGGGAGGCGGGCGGAUACUGUCGGGCUAGAGUCCGGAAGAGGCGAGUGGAAUUCCUGGUGUAGCGGUGAAAUGCGCAGAUAUCAGGAGGAACACCGGUGGCGAAGGCGGGUCUCUGGGCCAAUACUGACGCUGAGGAGCGAAAGCGUGGGGAGCGAACAGG
rnacentral:rRNA from 1 species